UCCCUGGUGGACUAGUGGCUAGUAUGCGGUGCUCUCAUCGCCGCAGUCUGGGUUCGAUUCUCAGUCAGGGAG
rnacentral:tRNA from 1 species